CGCCCCCCUUGGGUUGUGCCGUGGCGGAGAUCUUUGUGGGCUAUACUCGGCCUUGUCUCAGGAUGGAAGUGAGGUGUACCAUCUCAGGCGAUAUACAAUAGACGUUGCUGCCUUUGGGGAAAGUACUAUGGAAUAAUGCCGUGGAAUUCAUUCUCCUGCCUCCAGGACCUGAGCCCUAGGACCAUGCCUCAGGACUACCUGGCUUGAUGACUCCUUGCUGUCCCCAGCUCACCUGGCCGUGCUGCUGCUCCAGUUCUAACUGUUCUGCCUGCAGCUAUGGAACCCUGACCUGUUCACCGGACGUGCUACCUGUCCCAGACCUGUUGUCCCAGACCUGCUGGAACCCUGACCUAUUCACCGGACAUGCUACCUGUCCCAGACCUGCUGUUUUCAACUCUCUAGAGACAGCAGGAGCGGUAGAGAUACUCUCAAAGGUCGGCUAUGAAAAAGCCAACUGACACUUACUCUUGUGUUGCUGACUUGUUGCACCCUCGACAACUACUAUGAUUAUUAUUAUUUGACAAUGCUGGUCAUUUAUGAACAUUUGAACAUCUAGGCCAUGUGCUGUUAUAAUCUCCACCCGGCACAGCCAGAAGAGGACUGGCCACCCCUCAUAGCCUGGUUCCUCUCUAGGUUUCUUCCUAGGUUUUGGCCUUUCUAGGGAGUUUUUCCUAGCCACCGUGCUUCUACACCUGCAUUGCUUGCUGUUUGGGGUUUUAGGCUGGGUUUCUGUACAGCACUUUGAGAUAUCAGCUGAUGUAAGAAGGGCUAUAUAAAU
rnacentral:lncRNA from 1 species